UUCUUUUCACCCUUCAUUCAAAAUAAAAUUUGAAGAAUAGAAAGGUCAAUACCAAAAAAUAGUUAAAAUGGCAGGCAACACCAACAAAACCCUUGUUAUUCUGAUGAUAGCUAUGAUCAUGGCUUGUUCAUUGAUUGAAAACCCAACAAACGCAACCUCUCUCGGUUAUGGUGUCAUUGGUAAAGGAGACGCAAGAUGUAAAGAUGGUAAAUGUGAAAUAUUAGGAGAUCCAGCCAAUAAUUAUACAAGAGGAUGUGAGCCUGAAGAACACUGUAGAUCUGGAUCAUCUGGAUCACCUGAUCAAUGAUUCACAACAUUUGCUUUCCACAUCUCUAUUCCACCAUUUUAUAUCUUAUCUCUCUUCCAAUUAUGACCAUGGUGUAAAACAAGUGUGUGCAUGUCAUUCAUUCAUAUAUGGUAUUGAUUGGACAUUUCUUUGAUAUUUAAUUUAUUAAUUCAAUGGUUUUAUUAGUAUGUUGGAUUUGUUAUAUCUCCCUUUUUUUUUGUGUAUGUUUCUUAAUAUUCUUUUCAGUUUUCCUCCUCUCGAUCAAGAAGAUAGUAGUUCGAUAUGAUUUUUAAUUAAUAAUUUAGACUUUUUAAAGCUAAAAUUUAAUUAAUAAUUUGCUUUGUAAAGGGUAUAAAGUAAGGCUAAAGGGGGUGAGAGAGGAGAUAAAGAAAAAAGUAGACAAAAUCAAAUGGAACCAAAUGGAAUUACGAAAGGACGUUGACACGUUAGAUUGUUAAUUACAUAUAAAAUUGAUUUUUCGAUCCAAUCCGACUUUAAUUUUAUGUUAAAAAUCAUGAAAGAUCAAACAUGUAUAUAGCCAUCUUAAUUAAUACAUAUGUGUUAUUUAAUACACAUGUGUGAAGGAUAAGAGUGAUUAUUAUUAACCAUACAUUAAUCAUUCGACUUGCCAUGCAAUUACAGGUUACUAAAUUAGAUUAACAUUUUAAUUAUCAAAUUUUUAUUAGAGAAAACCACUUUUUGUGUAAACAGUUUGUAAUUAGACUUAAUUUAGAAAGAAUAUAACAUUUUAUGGACACCACUUUGUUUAAUUUUGAAAUGACCAAAUCAAACGGCUCUCUUUCUCCUCUCUUCCGACGAUCAUUUCUCUCCUUCAUCCUUUUUCUCUAUACAGAUUAGAUUUAUUUGUCCUUAAUUGACAAAUAAAUAUUAGUGAAUGUAAAUUUAUUUCUACACCAUUGAAUUAA
rnacentral:lncRNA from 1 species